rnacentral:rRNA from 1 species
UACGUAGGGUGCGAGCGUUAAUCGGAAUUACUGGGCGUAAAGCGUGCGCAGGCGGUGAUGUAAGACAGGUGUGAAAUCCCCGGGCUUAACCUGGGAAUUGCAUUUGUGACUGCACGGCUAGAGUGUGUCAGAGGGGGGUAGAAUUCCACGUGUAGCAGUGAAAUGCGUAGAUAUGUGGAGGAAUACCGAUGGCGAAGGCAGCCCCCUGGGAUAACACUGACGCUCAUGCACGAAAGCGUGGGGAGCAAACAGG